UCGCUCUCGAAGUGUGCGGCGCGUUUUCGACUGGAAACGUUCGGAUAGCGAAACCCCGCAAAAGCAACGACUGAAAACGCCAAACAAAGGUUGCCUCCGACGACUAAUCACAACCCUACUGGUUUGCUCCUGAUGUAAGCGUUACUGUGGAAUCUCUCGUCCCUAUCGGUGACUGGGAAGAAGGAGUACUAGGCGUCUUUAAUAAGCGACGCCGGCCGCCCGCAGCAGGUGGUGCUCGCCGGCCGCCGGCUGAUGGCGCGACGCCGCACCGUGCUCUGCGCGUGC